rnacentral:rRNA from 1 species
AGUGAACGCUGGCGGUAGACCUAACACAUGCAAGUCGAACGGCAGCACAGUAAGAGCUUGCUCUUACGGGUGGCGAGUGGCGGACGGGUGAGGAAUACAUCGGAAUCUACUUUUUCGUGGGGGAUAACGUAGGGAAACUUACGCUAAUACCGCAUACGACCUACGGGUGAAAGCAGGGGAUCUUCGGACCUUGCGCGAUUGAAUGAGGCGAUGUCGGAUUAGCUAGUUGGCGGGGUAAAGGCCCACCAAGGCGACGAUCCGUAGCUGGUCUGAGAGGAUGAUCAGCCACACUGGAACUGAGACACGGUCCAGACUCCUACGGGAGGCAGCAGUGGGGAAUAUUGGACAAUGGGCGCAAGCCUGAUCCAGCCAUACCGCGUGGGUGAAGAAGGCCUUCGGGUUGUAAAGCCCUUUUGUUGGGAAAGAAAAGCAGCAGGUUAAUACCCCGCUGUUCUGACGGUACCCAAAGAAUAAGCACCGGCUAACUUCGUG